CAGUCCCACAAGCCCGAAUUACUCCCCAACAAGUCCGACUUACUCGCCUACCAGUCCAUCAUACUCACCCACAUCUCCGAGUUACAGCCCAACAUCUCCUAGCUACAGUCCUACAUCACCAAGCUACAGCCCUACAUCUCCUAGUUAUAGUCCUACAUCACCAAGUUACAGCCCCACCUCACCAGUUUAUAGCCCUACAUCUCCAGCAUACAGCCCUACAUCUCCCGCAUAUAGCCCCACAUCACCAUCUUACAGUCCAACUUCGCCAUCUUAUAGCCCUACAUCACCAUCAUACAGCCCAACAUCCCCCUCAUACAGCCCUACCUCCCCCUCAUACAGCCCUACCUCCCCCUCAUACAGCCCUACCUCCCCCUCGUACAGCCCAACAUCACCUGCAUACAGCCCUACUUCGCCAGGAUACAGCCCAACAUCACCGAGCUACAGUCCUACUUCUCCGAGCUACAGUCCUAC
rnacentral:lncRNA from 1 species